rnacentral:rRNA from 1 species
UACGUAGGGGGCAAGCGUUAUCCGGAAUCACUGGGUGUAAAGGGUGCGUAGGCGGUAGGGCAAGUCAGAUGUGAAAACCCGGAGCUCAACUUCGGGAUUGCAUUUGAAACUGUCCUACUAGAGUGCAGGAGAGGAAAGCGGAAUUCCUAGUGUAGCGGUGAAAUGCGUAGAUAUUAGGAAGAACACCAGUGGCGAAGGCGGCUUUCUGGACUGUAACUGACGCUGAGGCACGAAAGCGUGGGUAGCGAACAGG